UACGGGGGGAGCAAGCGUUGUUCGGAAUUACUGGGCGUAAAGGGCGCGUAGGCGGCCUUCUAAGUCGAACGUGAAAUCCCUGGGCUCAACCCAGGAACUGCGUCCGAUACUGGAAGGCUUGAAUCCGGGAGAGGGAUGCGGAAUUCCAGGUGUAGCGGUGAAAUGCGUAGAUAUCAGGAGGAACACCGGUGGCGAAGGCGGGACUCUGGGCCGAUACUGACGCUGAGGAGCGAAAGCGUGGGGAGCGAACAGG
rnacentral:rRNA from 1 species